AGCCUAAUGAAUAUCUAUAUUAGGUAAGNUCUGCCCAGUGAAUUUUUAACGGCCGCGGUAUCCUGACCGUGCAAAGGUAGCACAAUCACUUACCUCUUAAUUGGGGGCUAGAAUGAACGAGUAAACGAAAAUCAAUCUGUCUCUUAAAUAUAAAUAAAAACUAGCCCACAGGUGAAAAGACCUGUUUUAUUCUAAAAGACAAAAAGACCCUGUCGAGCUUUAAUAUAAAAAUACACUUUUAAAUAUUUUGGUUGGGGCGACAAAGGAAUACAUAAAACUUCCUUAAAAAAAAGAAAUCUAAUCAAUUUAAUGAUCCUUAAAAUGAGCAUAGAGAUAGCUACCGCAGGGAUAACAGACUAAUUUUUCCAAAGAGCCCAAAUCAAAGGAAAAGUUUGGCACCUCGAUGUUGGCUUAGGAAUUCUUCUUGGCGCAAAAGCCAAAAAAGAGGGUGUGUUCACCCCUUAAUAU
rnacentral:rRNA from 1 species